GAAGGAAUUGCUACCGCGCUGCAAUGAAUCAGGAGUGAACUCUCUGCCAGCCUGUGAGCACUGCAGAAACGAAAAUGACCAGAAGGAGCAAGUGACCCCCAGGAGACUUUCUGGAG